rnacentral:lncRNA from 1 species
GUUGCUCGGCGGGCGCCAUCUUUCUCGCGGCGCGGGCGGCGCCCUCCGAGGACAUCUCGAUGACCAGGGCGCCGCGAGGCCCGGGGCUAGCGGGAGCCGAGAGCAGGGUGCUGAAUUCUGGAGAUGGGACUGGGGUCGCGCGGCCUUCUCCUUCCCCACGCCCCCAGACCCAAAAGACGAGGCCGCCGGCUCGGAGCGGGAAGGGCUGGGGCCAGCUUCUUCCUCCUAACCACUUGUUUGUGAUGGAAGAAGGGGGCUGGGGGUCGAGCCUCGCGGCUGAUGGGUUCCCUCCCUGACCCCGCACCCCCACUCCUCCCAGUCGAAAUUGGAGGUGAGGCGCUCCUGCCAUUUUCUCUCCUGCGGUCUGAGAGUGGACGUCUUUGUCUUCUCUGGCCCGGCGUGGGGGCAGGGCAUUGAGCCUUUUCCUUAAUUCUUCAGUUAUUGAAAGUAGAGUCCAACCAGGUUACAAAACUAAAAAAAAGAGUCCAGGACAUUGUCUGUCUGCCUUCCGGUAGCAUGGUUCUCUGUGGGUACCCUACGCUUCGUUUCUUAGUUUUACUCUAAAACAACCCUGAGGAGACAUUUACUAGUUGUCAGAUUACGGGAAGGUGAUGGGUUCCAGUUUUUUGAAACUUUUUUUGUUGGCUUUCAUAUUACUUCAAAUGGCAGUGAAUUAAAACAGUUUCUUAGAACUCUAAUCUGAAAAGUUAAAUACGCUUUAAAACAGUCUGAAACUCUUCUAAAAAGCAAAACUGCAUUAUUAAAAGCAUCCAUAGACAGGGGUUUCUCUUUGUCACCCAGGCUGGCCUCAAACUCCUGGGCUCAAGCAGUCUUCCCACCUUUCCCUCCCAAAGUGCUGGGAUUACAGGCGUGAGCCACUGCAUCCUGCCGAGAAAAUCAUUUUUUAUUUAAAUAAUGUCAAAUGGAAGUAUGUAGCACCCCCCCCCCACCUUCUUUUCCCCUUUCUUUCCUCUUUGAGUCUGCUGUCAUUCCCUUUUUCAUGAGUUUUCUCUGCUCCCCAAAUAGGCUAAACAAUAACCGUAAAGUGAGAUUAGAGAAAAUAAGAAUGGAGUAGAUGAUGGAAUUCAAAAUAGCUGUCUACAUUCUUCACUGAGAAAGAUAGCUUUGAGUUAAAGGUGAGAGGAGCAAAUCUGGGGAAAAACGGGUGAAACGGCAUGAUUUAAGUAGCAUACCAGAUGCGUUUCUGCAUGGCAUGGCUCUUGCUUGAUGAAUAAUGUUCUGUAUAGUAGAAGAGGAAAAUACAGUGAGUGAAGGAGCUGGCAGAAGGUGGGCUGGGGGAGUUGGGGAAGAGUGAAAUGAGUAUGGAGAGGUGAGAGAGCUGACUGCAAAGGCAUGUGGGGUGUGGAUUUUAAAAGGAAAGCCCUGAGGUGGAAAUCACUAACAUGGUGCCUGGCUACAAGCAGAGGGAGCUCAGGACUUGACUGUGCUGGGGGUGGCCUGCCCUUUUGUAGUGCAGUUGAGGAGAGCUCAGGGGCUGUCAGAAUGCUGUGUGGGAAGGUGGAGGAUGAAAGAGGACCUGGGAGCAGCAACUUUGUUCUGGUUUGUUGUUUUCUCUUCCCUACCUCGUAUGUACUCCCACUCAGGAAAAGAUCCUGAGACCUCUCUGUACCAGAUCCUCUUAUACCCAGGUUCUCCUUAAUCCCAAUCAACUUUAAUCUAUAAAGUUACGAUUUGUUUACUUAUAAAUUUAUUUUUAAUAAAGUUGUGAAACCGA